CGCGUCUCGAAGCUUGAUUUAGUUUACGUCGAAUCGAACCGUGAAUGUACCGUUCCCGUGAUAAUCAGCUCGAUCCCACAAUUUCACAGUGUAAUGCGAUUAUCGCGUCAUCUCGUUUGCGUCACACGUCACCGAUGUCAUGUAAAUGAACAUGCCGGACAGCAGUCGAUUUCCGGAUAAAAUGGUUACAACAAAGAUUAUAUCUUAAUGAUUGACAUGGUUCCGGUCGUUAUAGUCAAGGGAACCAAAAAAAGGGAUGCGAAUUCACCACUCUGGAUAAGCAUCAUCCACGCAAAUGCAGAAUCGAAUAAUACAAACUCGGACCUAUACGGGCCUGCUACGAUAAUGUCUGUAACGUAAACAGACGGUUUAUCGAUCGAUAGUUGAUAUCGUUAUGGCCCGGACUGUACGGUGCUCCGCAGUCAGCGUCGCAACGGUGACAAUGCGUUAUUCCGCGAUGCACGUGGGCCCGUUUCAAAUUGGCGAGGUCGAAUGGCGGCUGGGCAAUUGGAAGACGCAUAGAAAGAAGUCAACGACCCGGGAAUAUACAGAGUGUUGUGCAAUUUUGUGUGGCGAAACGAGAGGAAAACGUACGAGUUACAGCUUUUUUGCCUGGUUGAAGAAUUUCCUUCCGACGGCAGGAUACGAUAAGAGUGUCGAAAAAGGGGGAAAGAUGUGUAGGCGAGGAAGAAAUUCGACAGUCACGGUGGCGGAGCGCAGCGAGAGCAGCGUUACACACUUCACAAUGCACCGUGUGGCAUAACGGGGCGAGGUUUAUCGCCGUGGGGAACAAAAGAAACCGGAGGAAGAAAGGACGCAAAACGGCGUUUCAGCGUUUUCAGCGUUUCUU